rnacentral:RNase_P_RNA from 1 species
CCAACAGCCCGAUCUGUCGCCGUGACAACCGCAAGGUUCGUCAGGGAGGAAAGUCGGGACAACACAGAGCGCCGUACUUCCUAACGGGAAGGAUGUCCUGAAUUGAGCUUGCUCAACUUCAGGGGAGACAGCAAGUGCCACAGAAAAUAACUACCCGCCUGGCUGCGGUCAGGGGGGAAAAGGUGAAAAUGUGGGGUAAGAGCCCACGCUCUGAAGUAGUGAUACUUCAGGGGGGUAAACCUUACGGGUUGAAAGGCCAUGUAUACCGGAGCAUGCUGAUAACCGAAAGGUUCGUCAGUAUUAAGGGCUGCUCGUCCGAUUCCGGGGGGUUGGCUGAUAGAUCCCGACAGUGAUGUCGGGGGUAGAUAAAUGACAGAUCCCGAUAACUAUCGGGAACAGAAUCCCGCUUAUGAGGCUGUUGGUAUC